CCUACGGGAGGCUGCAGUGGGGGAUAUUGCACAAUGGGGGGAACCCUGAUGCAGCGACGCCGCGUGGGUGAAGAAGCGCCUCGGCGCGUAAAGCCCUGUCAGCAGGGAAGAAAAUGACGGUACCUGACGAAGAAGCCCCGGCUAACUACGUGCCAGCAGCCGCGGUAAUACGUAGGGGGCAAGCGUUAUCCGGAUUUACUGGGUGUAAAGAGGGCGCAGACGGCGAUGCAAGCCAGGAGUGAAAGCCCGGGGCCCAACCCCGGGACUGCUCUUGGAACUGCGUGGCUGGAGUGCAGGAGGGGCAGGCGGAAGUCCUGGUGUAGCGGUGAAAUGCGUAGAUAUCAGGAGGAACACCGGUGGCGAAGGCGGCCUGCUGGACUGCAACUGACGUUGAGGCCCGAAAGCGUGGGGAGCAAACAGGAUUAGAUACCCCUGUAGUC
rnacentral:rRNA from 1 species